rnacentral:rRNA from 1 species
UACGUAGGGGGCAAGCGUUGUCCGGAAUCAUUGGGCGUAAAGAGCGUGUAGGCGGCCCGAUAAGUCCGCUGUGAAAGUCCAGGGCUCAACCCUGGGAUGCCGGUGGAUACUGUCGGGCUCGAGUCCGGAAGAGGAGUGUGGAAUUCCAGGUGUAGCGGUGAAAUGCGUAGAUAUCUGGAGGAACACCGGUGGCGAAGGCGGCAUCCUGGACCGGUAUUGACGCUGAGGCGCGAAAGCCAGGGGAGCAAACGGG